GUGUUUUAUAGCCACAAAUAAAACUGUAAUAAAGUUGCUGCUCAGUAAUUCUACCUAUAUUGAACAGAUGCUGCUGAUGGCUGUGUCCUGUCACCCAUCAUCUCCUCCACACAGGACAGACCAGACUCUUAUUAUACCGUCUCCUGUUCUGCAGUGAGUGAGGUGCUCAGCACAUGCCAGUGUUGGAAAGAACAGAGGCUAACUACCACACAGCAUAUACAGCUUAUAUUAAACAGAAAAUGUCCAGUCUCGGUUUAAAGCCCCAUCACCAUGGCAACACAAGACCAGACAAAGACAAACCCAACUCUGACGGGACAACAGUUUCUCUUUUAGCCUAAAUGAUGGAGCCAAAAGAAUGGUGCUGUAUGAAGUUGCCAUGUUCACCUAAAUGUGACUGUGCAGCCCUGGAAACAAAGUCUUGUUCUUGCUGUCAGAAAGAACUGCAGUAGCUGGUGACAGCCCGUGUCCUUGGAAGAUCACCAGAUUUUGCUUUUAAACUCCGUUGGAAACAGUUCUCUGCCUCUUUACAAACUGCAAUUACUCCUUGGUUUCUUGUUGGAAGAGUCAUGCUCAGACUGGGCAGCUCAAGAGGCUACCGGUUAAACCUUUAUGUAGUGAGAAUGCAGGCGUUAUACCUAAGAUGUUUGUAUUGUCCAGAAGGAGACCUAUUCCAGUCCAGUGAUAGUUUUUGUGUGUGUGUAUAGUGUUGUAGGCCUUCUCUGCAAAUAUAUCGGGGCACUUUUCUUUUUUGCAAUAUCAUUAAUUUAUUGUGUACAUAAAAAAGCUUCAUUGCAUUUCAAUUACAUCGAUUAAUUUCUGCGAAAGUCCCAUAGACACUUGACAUAAAUGUUGAUGGUGAUUUAUUAAAAAAAAAAAUCUGCACACCGCUCGGAGAAAGUAGUGGGCUUCUGUCCGAAUAGCCAACAGAAUCG
rnacentral:lncRNA from 1 species